UUUGUACUCCCUCCGUCCCAAAAUUCUUGUCUUAAAUUUGUCUAAAUAUGGAUGUAUCUAGUUACAUUUUAGUGUUAGAUACAUCCGUAUCUAAACAAAUGUAAGACAAGAAUUUUGGGACGAAGGGAAUACUAC
rnacentral:pre_miRNA from 1 species